CACCCAGCUUUUUUCUGUGUUUCACCAGUAUUCUGGGUCAUUGAAGAUCUGAAGACAACCUUCCUUAAUGUAUAGCUCACACAGGAGAGACAAGGCAAAAUCCAGAUCCUGAUUUACCCCAAGUUCAGAGAUUUAAUCAUCAGCCCCUGAAGAACAAAGAAAGCAGCAUUGGAGUGUUGGGAAAUCCAGACUGAAAGAGGUUCAGCUAGCCAGACUACUGGAAUAUGUGUUCACACACGACGGCGCAGGGAGGAAGACCUGUGAAGAGAAGAACAAAGUUGUGAGCUUACUUGUUUGGAAGUCCCAUCCACAGGAGCCUGCUGUCACUGCCUGCAUCUGGUGCUUCAUCCUGUCAUGUCAGUGGAUGUCUAUAACCAAGCUGCAAGAUAUGUUAAAGAGCCAUCUCUGCUCUGAUUACCUGUCCUGUCUGGGUCAGGGCUUUAAGGUUUUUACAGCUGUAGCUGGGUUUG